AUUGAACGCUGGCGGUAUGCCUUACACAUGCAAGUCGAACGGUAGAGGGGCAACCCUUGAGAGUGGCGAACGGGUGAGUAAUACAUCGGAACGUGCCCAGUCGUGGGGGAUAACGUAGCGAAAGCUACGCUAAUACCGCAUACGACCUGAGGGUGAGAGCGGGGGAUCGCAAGACCUCGCGCGAUUGGAGCGGCCGAUGGCAGAUUAGGUAGUUGGUGGGGUAAAGGCCUACCAAGCCUGCGAUCUGUAGCUGGCCUGAGAGGACGACCAGCCACACUGGGACUGAGACACGGCCCAGACUCCUACGGGAGGCAGCAGUGGGGAAUUUUGGACAAUGGGCGCAAGCCUGAUCCAGCCAUACCGCGUGCGGGAAGAAGGCUUUCGGGUUGUAAACCGCUUUUGUCAGGGAAGAAAUCUUCUGGGCUAAUACCUCGGGAGGAUGACGGUACCUGAAGAAUAAGCACCGGCUAACUACGUGCCAGCAGCCGCCGUAA
rnacentral:rRNA from 1 species